UACGUAGGGGGCUAGCGUUGUCCGGAAUCAUUGGGCGUAAAGAGCGUGUAGGCGGCCCGGUAAGUCCGCUGUGAAAGUCGGGGGCUCAACCCUCGAAUGCCGGUGGAUACUGUCGGGCUAGAGUGCGGAAGAGGCGAGUGGAAUUCCUGGUGUAGCGGUGAAAUGCGUAGAUAUCGGGAGGAAUACCAGUGGCGCAAGCGGCGCCCUGGCCGUGACCUGACACUGAGCCACGACGGCGUGGGGAGCAAACGGG
rnacentral:rRNA from 1 species